CAUAAAAUAAGAUCAUUCUAGGUAAGAAGAGAUCAAUUCUAAGCAUAAUGAAAGCCACAUUGUAUUCCUUGUGUCCCUGUUGGAGACGACCGCUUUGACUGGGGGUUACAACAGCUUUUCAAAAGGAUGCAAUUACACCCAAGUAGAACCACAUGUGAAAGGCAAGGCUGGCUCCCUGCUCCGUGGCCUCUCUGCACUUGCUUCACCUGCACAGGGAUCCAACAGUGGAAGGAACCCCACAGGCUGCCAAGGGGAGACCUGCGGGCAGUGGGAAUAGGUGGAGGAAAACGCUCUGGGAUGCUGGCAGGACCAACCCUGGAAGGGGAAGGCUGGGAAGUCCUGCCCCAUCCUCUUGGCUCUCUCAACCACUGCUUUGCCUUCAUUAACCCUGCAUCCCUGUGCAGGCCAGGCAGGGAAGCUGCCACCCUGU